CCACACGGUAAACGAUGAAUACUCGCUGUCGGCGAUAUAGUGUCGGCGGCCAAGCGAAAGCAUUAAGUAUUCCACCUGGGGAGUACGCCGGCAACGGUGAAACUCAAAGGAAUUGACGGGGGCCCGCACAAGCGGAGGAACAUGUGGUUUAAUUCGAUGAUACGCGAGGAACCUUACCCGGGCUUGAACUGUGUCUGAAUAUGGUGGAAACAUCAUAGCUAGCAAUAGCAGAUAUGGAGGUGCUGCAUGGUUGU
rnacentral:rRNA from 1 species